AUCUUGUAUCUUCAGGAAUUUUAGAAAAAGUGAAUGCGGAUAUUUCAUCUAAACUCAUAGAUGCCAUCAUGAAAUAGUGAUUUGAAAUUUUAUCAAUUUGUUCAGAAUUCCAAACUAUUGUUUAUCAUUGACUGAGAAUUGUGUAUUACCGGUAUUCUUUAGAAAUGUGCCAGUAAGAAUAAAGUGAAUAAACAUUUAUAAACAGCAUGUGAUGAUAAUUUAUACUGGAAGGUGUUUGAAUUGCAAUAGAAGUAGAAUGUAAAGUCAACAUAUGAAAAUUCAUACUGGUGAAAAUAUGAGAAUGCAGUAAGAAUCUGACAAUUCAUACUGAUACAAUAAGAAACUAAUGAAUAUUCCUAGGAAAUAGUGUUGACAAUUCAUACUGGAGAAAAUACUGAAGAAUUGAUAUGGAAUUUAACUAUUGAUUAUUCAUAGUGGAGAAAAUUCCCGAGAAUUCAUGUGGAAUUUAAGUCUAAUGAAAACAAUUCAUAUGGAAUUAUGUGUAAACGCUUGUAAACAUAAGAUUAUUUUACCUUUUGUACGUUAAAUAUAUUUUAUUUUAUUUUAAAUUGUAGGGACACAAUUUUUUUUCAGGGGAGAGCAGAAGUAGCAUUUGAUAUAUAAUGUAAAGUUUAUGUAUAUUUAUAAUUAUUUUCAGUAACAGCUGAUGUGCCUGAAAGCAGACUGUAUUUUAUGAAUGUUCAUUAAUGAUAAUGUCAUUAUGUUAUUUAAACAUUCAUUAUGUUAUAUCUUGAUGAAGAUGUUUAAUGUUAAAUGACGAGACGUCAUUUUCCAAGGAGCAGGAGUGUGUAGCAGGGUCAUAUUUUUGUAUGACAGUAUUAUGAAACGUGUCAGCUCUUUCCGGUGUUUUAUUUCUUUAGGUUUUGAUAAGUUCUUGCUGGUCUUUUAUUUUCUUGUUUUCUGUGUGAUCUCGCGAGAGUUUGGCGGGAAUGUUGUGCAGGUUUUGAAAAGAGUUUACAUGGUUGAUGUAGAGAACAUUCUGUUAAUUUGAACUUGUUUAUAUGAUUUACAUUUGGUUGAGCUAUCCAAGUGUUUGUGAGAAGUAUUUAAGUUAACCAUCACGUGAGACAGGAUGUAUGUGAUGUGAAGUGAAGUGCUAUAGAUUCUAAUUUGUCAUUGGUUUAUUGUGGAAUAGGCUUAAGAUCCCAUAGAUCUUGCCUUGAUUAAAGUUAACUUCAACAGAGAAGAUAUAUUGUAUAUUCGUCAUGACAUGAUAUUGACUGUAUAUGUAGAUUGGAAACAAUAAAUGAAUAACCACAUCUACCCUGUGUUAUAACACCAUGUGUUACAUUAUU